UCCAAGCUACUCCAAAUAAAUAAGAUACAAUCCUUCAUACUUUUCAAUAUAAAAAAAUACACGCCAAAGAAUGAGAAAGCCAAAGAAUGAGAAAGGUUAGGGUUGGAGAAAUCAAAAAUCUGAAACGUAAGUGUUCCAUGGAUCUCUUUCAUUCAUCCUUGCAGUCUUCGGUUUCUCAUCCUAUCAACAACAUCAAAAGAUAUUUCAAUUCAACAACACAGAUUGUCACGACUCCGAAUUUCAUCCACUUUUUUGAAGAAUAUUUGUUACAGAUGUGAGACUUUCUUCAAUUCAGAUUAUUGGAAAAGCAUUGGUCCUUGAUGAAAUAAUUAAUUAUAUGCCAUCACUUCAGUCUCAAGUGGAGUUUUUAUUGAUGAAAUUUGAAGCAGUAAACUUGAAACUUAACACUGGCAUUGAAGCCUUUCCUCCAAAAGAUUUUUUUCUAACGGAUGUAGAAUAUUUGUUGCAAUUGGAAUGUAAGCUGGAAUAUCUCCUCCAAGUUGUUUGAAUCUUGAAGAUUGGCUUCAUACGUCUCCUCCAGUCGAUAUGUUUCAAGAAAUUCUAUCUCUCAAUGCUGAGAAUUUUAUACUAACUGAAUACAACGGUCCAGCUAGAAAAUGGUUAGCUCUUAUUCGGAAGGCGCUAAAUAGUCUUCCUAAAACAAGUGGGAAACAUAGUUGGUUGAUUUGUAUAAUUGCAAAAUCCUAUACACUAAAUAGUCUUCCUUUUCACUGCACUCUCUUAUAUGAUUUAUAUUUGUCUCCAAAAAUGUUAUUAUUAAUUCCAUUUAUUUGAAUGAUCAAAAUAUACACCUGCUACAACAGAUAAAUAAAUUACAUAAAGCUUCUCUGGAUAAAAGGUUUAUGUGUGAAGAAGCUGAG